ensembl:lncRNA
CGGGAGGAAGAGGUCUAUCGCUGAAGGACACCAGGAGGAGAACCUAGGAGGAGGAGAUACCAUCAGGAGGAGAUACCAGGAGGCAGCAGGAGGAGUCAGCAGGAGGAGCAGAGAAGAGGUCUUCGUCCCCUCCUGCAGAAGAAGAGAAGACAGGGCAGCAGGAGGAGGAGGUGGAGCAGGAGGAGAAAGGAUUUCACGGCUCUUAUCUUCCGUGCGGCAGCAGACGAGAGGUGUGAAGGAGAAGAGGAGAGGAGAGGAGGAGAGGAGGAGAGGAGAGGAGGAGCAAGGAGAGAGGAAAGAGGAGGUUGCCACUCACGGUCUGGCAGCAGGACGAGCAUCCAGCCGUGGGGGGGGGAGGGGGUUGCAUUGCGACAUCGGUUGCUGUGUGUGUGUGUUUGUGCGUGUGUGUGUGUGUGUGUGUGUGUGUGUGUGUGUGUGUGUGUGUGUGUGUGUGUGUGUGUGUGUGUGUGUGUGUGUGUGUGCACUGCAUUACCUCGUCAGUUUGAGGGAAUUGAGGGACCGCUGGUGUGUCCGAGGAGAGAGGAGAGAGGAGAGAGGAGAGAGGAGGAGGAGAGAGGAGAGAGGAGAGAGGAGGACACAGGGAGAGCUGAGAGCCCCCCUUUCUUUACAUUCUGCCGCUUCUUUGUUUCUCCCCGCUCUGUCUGUCUGUGUGUGACUGUGUGUGUGUGUGUGUGUGUGUGUGUGUGUGUGUGUGUGUGUGUGGCCAAGGUCCAGCCGACGUAGUUCCCUGACCGUGGACCGGACCCUGGGACCAGGGACCUGUUAUUGUCCCAGGGUCCAGCAGGGGGGGGCUGCUGUAGGAGCCAGGGGGGCUGGCCCCAGCUGGUCCUGUAGGCCCCCUGGCCCCAGCUGGUCCUGUAGACCCCCUGGUCCCAGCUGGUCCUGUAGACCCCCUGGUCCCAGCUGGUCCUACAGACCCCCUGGUCCCAGCUGGUCCUGUAGACCCCCUGGUCCCAGCUGGUCCUGUAGACCCCCUGGUCCCAGCUGGUCCUGUAGGCCCCCUGGCCCCAGCUGGUCCUAUAGGCCCCUGAGCUGGUCCCACUGAAGUUGAAGGACCUU